AGUAUGUGAGGAUGGCAUCAUUUCACAUUAAAGUCACAACGGCAAAAGAUGAGCAUGCGUCCCAUUAGCUAGUUGGUAAGGUAACGGCUUACCAAGGCUACGAUGGGUAGGGGUCCUGAGAGGGAGAUCCCCCACACUGGUACUGAGACACGGACCAGACUCCUACGGGAGGCAGCAGUGAGGAAUAUUGGUCAAUGGGCGCAAGCCUGAACCAGCCAUGCCGCGUGCAGGAAGACGGUCCUAUGGAUUGUAAACUGCUUUUAUACAGGAAGAAACCCUCCCACGUGUGGGAGCUUGACGGUACUGUAGGAAUAAGGAUCGGCUAACUCCGUG
rnacentral:rRNA from 1 species